rnacentral:tRNA from 1 species
GGGGUUGUGGCUUAGUGGUGGAGUGCUUGCCUCACAUGUAUGAGGCACUGGGUUCGAUCCUCAGCACCACA